rnacentral:misc_RNA from 1 species
UACAGAGACUACGAGCGUUGACCGGAUUUAUUGGGCGUAAAGCGUGCGCAGGUGGUUUUGUAAGUCAUUCGUUAAAUCUUCAGGCUCAACCUGGAGGCUGCGGCUGAUACUGCAAAACUCGAGGAUGGGAGAGGUAAAUGGAAUGCCCGGUGUAGGAGUAAAAUCCGUUAAGAUCGGGUGGAACACCAAAUGCGAAAGCAGUUUACUGGAACAAUCCUGACACUGAUGCACGAAAGCGUGGGUAGCGAAAGGG